rnacentral:rRNA from 1 species
GGGGAGUACGACCGCAAGGUUGAAACUCAAAGGAAUUGACGGGGGCCCGCACAAGCAGUGGAGUAUGUGGUUUAAUUCGACGCAACGCGAAGAACCUUACCAAGUCUUGACAUCCCUUGACAGACAUAGAAAUAUGUAUUCUCUUCGGAGCAAGGAGACAGGUGGUGCAUGGUUGUCGUCAGCUCGUGUCGUGAGAUGUUGGGUUAAGUCCCGCAACGAGCGCAACCCUUAUGGUCAGUUACUACGCAAGAGGACUCUGGCCAGACUGCCGUUGACAAAACGGAGGAAGGUGGGGAUGACGUCAAAUCAUCAUGCCCUUUAUGACUUGGGCUACACACGUACUACAAUGGCGUUAAACAAAGAGAAGCAAGACCGCGAGGUGGAGCAAAACUCAGAAACAACGUCCCAGUUCGGACUGCAGGCUGCAACUCGCCUGCACGAAGUCGGAAUUGCUAGUAAUCGUGGAUCAGCAUGCCACGGUGAAUACGUUCCCGGGCC